AGAGCGCAAGCAGUGAUGCCCAAGCGGGUAGGGCCGAGGCCCGGGAGCAGCAGGGCGGCGCCGGCUCCCGGCGCCGGCUCCCGGCGCCGGCUCCCGGUGCCGUGUUGGCGGCGCCGGCUCCCGGUGCGGUGUUGGCGGCGCAGAAGCGCCCCCGCGCGGGGCGGGCACUCCCCCCGGGACUGCAGCUCCCGGCAGGCAGCGCGGGGCGCCCCCGGUGCCGGAAGCGCCGGUCGGGGCGGGGGACGGGACUGGACCGUCCGGGGCAGCGGGGUUAUGGCGGGCCGCGGGGCGGGCUCCUCGGAGCACCUGGAGCGGCUUCAUGAGAUCUUCCGCGGGCUGCACGGAGACCUGAGGGGUGUCCCCGAGCGGCUGCGGGGCAGCGCGGCCGAGGAGAAGAAAAAACUGGUUCGAGAAUUUGACGAUAAACAGCGCGAAGCCAAUGAGACGCUGCGUGAAAUGGAGGAAGAACUGAAGUAUGCUCCCCUGCCUUUCCGCAACCAAAUGAUGAGCAAAAUCCGAGCGUACAGAAGAGACCUGUCCAUGUUCCAGAGAGAGAUGAGAAGCACAGAUUUGGGAGUGGGCCAUGGAAGUCAAGGCGAUAUAAAAUAUGGAAUCUUCUCCACAGAAAAUGAACAAAGUACUAAUCUGCAGUCACAGAGGGUGCUGCUUCUCCAGGGAACAGACAGUCUGAACCGAGCCAGUCAGAGCAUUGAGCGCUCACACCGGAUUGCUGCUGAAACAGAUCAGAUUGGCACCGAUAUCAUCGAAGAACUUGGGGAGCAGCGGGAGCAGCUGGAACGUACCAAGAGCAGAUUGGUGAAUACAAGUGAGAACUUGAGCAAGAGUCGCAAGAUUCUACGUUCGAUGUCCCGGAGAAUAACCACUAAUAAGUUGUUGCUGUCAAUUAUCAUCAUCCUGGAACUGGCCAUCCUAGGAGGUGUGGUCUACUACAGAUUCUUCCGCAGCAGAUGAAUCUUCAUGAUGGAGAUGAACUUUUCCACUGUUGAGGAACAGGAUGGGCUGUCUGUUCCCUUUGAUUGUCUGAGGAUUGAACUGAGUGGUGAGACAGCACAUUCACCUGAAACUGUACUGACACUAAAAAGACAGAGAAUGGGAGUAAAAGGAAAAUGCAGAGACAGACUUGAACUACCGAAAGCCAGGGUGAAAGGCUGAACCACUGAUGUGCAUGGCAUCUAGGAUGGAGGAAGCACCAAGCUUGAGGAUUUCACUAACAGCUCAGCAAGAUGAGCAUUUUUCAGGUCCAUAGUUGAAGACUGCCUCCAAGCCAUACCAUGUAGCCUAGCUGAUGAAGAAAUAAAGGAUAAUUUUUAACCUAAAA